rnacentral:rRNA from 1 species
GACGAACGCUGGCGGCGUGCUUAAUACAUGCAAGUCGAACGGAAAGGCCCGGCUUUUGUGGGGCGCUCGAGUGGCGAACGGGUGAGUAACACGUGAGUAACCUGCCCUUGACUUUGGGAUAACUUCAGGAAACUGGGGCUAAAACCGGAUAGGAGCUCCUGCUGCAUGGGGGGGGUUGGUAAGUGUCGGCGGUUGGGGAUGGACUCGCGGCUUAUCAGCUUGUUGGGGGGGUAGUGGCAUACCAAGGCUUUGAAGGGUAGCCGGCCUGAGAGGGUGACCGGCCACAAUGGGACUGAGAGAGGGACCAGACUCCUACGGGACGCAGAAGUCGGGAAUAUUACGCAAUGGGCGGAAGUCAGAUGCAGCAACGCCGCGUGCGGGAUGACGGCUUUCGAGUUGUAAACCACUUUCGACUGAGACAAAGCGUGAGUGACGGUAAUGGGUCAAGAAGCACCGGCUAACUACGUG